UAUAUCCUAUAUGUGCAGAAACUUCAUCUUCUUGCUGAAAAUCUGUAGAUUUAAGAGAGAAAAUCAAACACUUUCAUCAUUGUUCUUCAAGUUUCAAGUCUAGAUCUCGGUUCCGGUUGAUUUUACCAAACUUCGUAUACAUUUAGGUAAGGAGAAUGCUUAGUGGAUAACCAAAGACCUAUUUUUGUGGUGUCUCGUGGCCUGUGAUGGAUUUUAAACCUAUAGUUUUAUAUAAGUCAUAUAUUACCUCUUUUGUUGGCAUAGGGCCAAGUUAUUGUUGUAACUUAACUUUCCUUUAUGACUUGUAUGACUUAUAUAGCAACGCUCUAGUUAAAUGUAAUCACCUAGUAUUUGCGAUGAUUUA